UCCAACACUUGCGUGAAACACGAAUGCCUUCGGUGACACCGGAAGGAAAGGAAUAUCUUAGUUGUUUCUUCAUGGCUCCUAUCGGAAGCAACACUCGCCGGGCCUUGUGUUUGGUGUCUCUCCUGCUCAUGUCUGCCACCCUCUCGUCCUGUCAUGCAGGAGGUACAACAGAUGGUUCCCCGAAGUUGUGCAUAACCCAGAAAGCAUGCGCACCGAAGUGGUCCAUAGAACCCUGGGAUAACUAUGCCUGCAAGUUUUACUGCGGAGUUCGAGGUUACGAUGAGGAUAAGAGCCACUGCACACCAAACGGUAAAGGAUUUUGCUGCUGCGAAAAGUAAUGUAAGCUGUUUUUCUUUGCAAAAUAAUUAAGCCUAGUUUUCAA